GCGGCCGCGGCGGCGGGGAGAGCGGAGGGAGCGCCGCCCGCCCGCGCCGUCCUUUGUGUGGCGGCGGCGGCGCCUGGGCCUGACCGGGUCCCCGGGGCUUCGCGCCGCCCCUCCCGCGCCCCUACCAAGCGGGCGCCUAUCCUCCGAGCAAGAUGGCAACCCCGGCGGCGGUCAACCCUCCGGAAAUGGCUUCAGACAUACCUGGAUCUGUGACGUUGCCCGUUGCCCCCAUGGCAGCCACCGGACAGGUGAGGAUGGCGGGGGCCAUGCCUGCCCGUGGAGGAAAGCGGCGUUCCGGAAUGGACUUCGAUGAUGAAGAUGGUGAAGGCCCCAGUAAAUUUUCAAGAGAGAAUCAUAGUGAAAUCGAAAGGCGCAGGCGGAACAAGAUGACUCAGUACAUCACGGAGCUCUCCGACAUGGUCCCCACAUGCAGCGCACUGGCUCGGAAGCCAGACAAGCUCACCAUCCUCCGCAUGGCCGUCUCGCACAUGAAGUCCAUGAGGGGGACAGGGAACAAGUCCACUGAUGGCGCGUACAAGCCUUCCUUCCUCACAGAGCAGGAACUGAAGCAUCUCAUCCUUGAAGCAGCUGACGGAUUUCUGUUUGUGGUGGCUGCUGAGACAGGGCGAGUGAUUUAUGUGUCUGACUCCGUCACCCCUGUUCUGAACCAGCCCCAGUCAGAGUGGUUUGGGAGCACACUGUAUGAACAGGUGCAUCCUGAUGACGUGGAGAAGCUGAGAGAGCAACUGUGCACCUCAGAAAACUCAAUGACAGGUCAGUGGAGCUCCCUUUAUGAGGCUGUUUGACUCUAGAAAACAUUCUUGGCCAGGCGUGGUGGCUCACACCUGUAAUCCCAGCACUUUGGGAGGCUGAGGCAGGCAGAUCACGAGGUCAGGAGAUCGAGACCAUCCUGGCUAACACGGUGAAACCCCGUCUCUACAAAAAAUACAAAAACAAAAAAUUAGCCGGGUGUGGUGGUGGCGCCCGCCACCUGUAGUCCCAGCUACUCCGGAGGCUGAGGUGGGAGAAUAGCAUGAACCCAGGAGGCGAAGCUUGCAGUGAGCCAAGAUUGUGCCACUACACUCCAGCCUGGGCAACAGAGUGAGACUCCAUCUCAAAAAAAAAAAAAAAAAAAAAAAAGAAA
rnacentral:sRNA from 1 species